AUACUGUCAAUAGUGUGUUUGAUAACCUGAUGUGGGACAGGAGUUCUUUUCACUGUUGUGUCAGUUUAUCAAACCCUGGAAGCCCCUGC
ensembl:miRNA